rnacentral:rRNA from 1 species
CCCGACUGCUAUCGGAUUGGGAUUUAGCCAUGUUAGUUGUGCGUUCCUUGGCUACAGGGGACGCAGCAUACGGCUCAGUAACACGUAGUCAACCUGCCCUGGAGACGCGGACAAACCCGGGAAACUGGGGCCUAUCCGCGAUAGAUGACCUCAUCUGGAAGGAGAGGUCGUCCAAAAGGGUGCACGGGUAUGCUCUGUGCAAACCGCUCCAGGAUGGGACUGCGGCCGAUCAGGCUGUUGGCGGGGUAAUGGCCCACCAAACCUGUAACCGGUACGGGCUUUGAGAGAAGGAGCCCGGAGAUGGACACUGAGACAAGGGUCCAGGCCCUACGGGGCGCAUCAGGCGCGAAAACUUCGCAAUGCGCGAAAGCGUGACGAGGCUAGUCCGAGUGCUUCCUGCUAAAGGGAGCUUUUCUCGNGCUGUAAAUAGUNCCGGGGAAUAACGGGGAGGGCAAGUCUGGUGUCAC